UACGGAGGGUGCAAGCGUUAUCCGGAUUCACUGGGUUUAAAGGGUGCGUAGGCGGACAGGUAAGUCAGUGGUGAAAUCUCUGGGCUUAACCCAGAAACUGCCGUUGAUACUAUCAGUCUUGAAUACCGUGGAGGUGAGCGGAAUAUGUCAUGUAGCGGUGAAAUGCUUAGAUAUGACAUAGAACACCAAUUGCGAAGGCAGCUCGCUACACGAAUAUUGACUCUGAGGCACGAAAGCGUGGGGAUCAAACAGG
rnacentral:rRNA from 1 species